rnacentral:rRNA from 1 species
CAAAGGCUUGGUCCUGACUUUACUAUCAAUUUUAACCAAACUUACACAUGCAAGUAUCUGCACCCCUGUGAGAAUGCCCGAACAAUCCCCCGCCCGGGGAUAAGGAGCUGGUAUCAGGCACACUAAGUAUAUUAAGCCCAUGACACCUUGUAAAGCCACACCCCCACGGGAAUUCAGCAGUGAUAGACAUUAAGCUAUAAGUGAAAACUUGACUUAGUCAAGGUUAAGAGGGCCGGUAAAACUCGUGCCAGCCACCGCGGUUAUACGAGAGGCCCAAGUUGAUAAACAUCAGCGUAAAGCGUGGUUAAGAAGAAAUCAAAAUUAAAGCCGAACACUCUCAGUUAACUGUUAUACGAUACACCGAGAGUUAGAAGCACACCCACGAAAGUGACUUUAAUAUAAACUGAACCCACGAAAGCUAAGAUACAAACUGGGAUUAGAUACCCCACUAUG